GGUCGACCCGCUGAACUUAAGCAUAUCAAUAAGCGGAGGAAAAGAAACUAACAAGGAUUCCCUCAGUAACGGCGAGUGAACAGGGAUCAGCCCAGAACCGAAGCCUGUGCCGUAAGGUACUAGGCAAUGUGGUGUUCGCCCCGGUUUUACCGAUUGGUUGGAUCUGCUUUAAAUCCACGUGAUUGUGGUUUCUAGCCCAUAGAGGGUGUAAGGCCCGUCAAAGCAGUACAACCUUUCAAUAAUCGGUGGCUCGAGUCGGUUAGCUUGGAAGUGCUGACCUAAUAGGGUGGUAAACUCCAUCCAAGGCUAAAUACAGCACGAUUCCCAUAGUGAACAAGUACCAUGAGGGAAAGUUGAAAAGAACUUUGAAGAGAGAGUUCAACAGUGCGUGAAACCGCUCAAGGGCAAACGGGAAACGCUGAGGUAGAGAAAUGGUAUUUGUAUUUCACUCUACUUAUCCUAAUAGUGCGGAGUCUUAUUGCUCGGCUGUUGGGGUGCAGUGGGGUGUUGUGCUCUUGCCGUUCUCGACACCACGAUCAGUAAAUAGGCGGGUCUGUCAUGGUUUGUUGGUAGCUUGAUUUAUUUCAAGUGUUAAGCCUUCCAUACAGCACUUGCUGAGUACUGUUAUGCGAUGCAAGUCAUUGUGACGCACAAGGUUGUUCGAUUUGUGAUGUUGCUUUGACAACUCAUUUAAGAGAUGUCUUAGUAUUCAGAGCCUUUUGAUCAUCCCUCUGUGUGUUGCAUCACAAUCCGUGGUGAUAUAGUAGGCAUGUUUCCUGUCCCGUCUUGAAACACGGACCAAGGAGUGUAACUUGUACGCGAGUCAUGAGGUAUUACGAAACCUAAAGGCGUAUUGAAAGAAAAGGCUUGCUUUAUACAAGCUUUGGAGAGAUCCUGGUUCUGAGGGGCUUUAUGCACCCAGGCUAGGCGCAUCUCCGGCUCGUCCCAUGCUUUUCAAGCGGGGCGAAGCAAGAGCGUACAUGUUGCGACCCGAAAGAUGGUGAACUAUGCAUGAGUAGGCUGAAGCCAGGGGAAACUCUGGUGGAGGGCCGUAGCAAUUCUGACGUGCAAAUCGAUUGUCGAACUUGUGCAUAGGGGCGAAAGACUAAUCGAACCAUCUAGUAGCUGGUUCCCCCCGAAGUUUCCCUCAGGAUAGCUGGCACUCGCUUUAAACAGUUUUAUCCGGUAAAGCGAAUGAUUAGCAGUAUUGGGGAAGAAAAUUCCUCAACUGAUUCUCAAACUUUAAAUGGGUGAGAAGCUUAGCUCUCUUUAUUGGAGCUGGGCAUUGAAUGAGAGUGCCAAGUGGGCCAUUUUUGGUAAGCAGAACUGGCGCUGCGGGAUGAACCGAACGUCUGGUUACGGAGCCAAACAUAACGCUCAUGAGACACCACAAAAGAUGUUGGUUGAUUUUGACAGCAGGACGGUGGCCAUGGAAGUCGGAAUCCGCUAAGGAGUGUGUAACAACUCACCUGCCGAAUCAACCAGCUCUGAAAAUGGAUGGCGCUGGAGCGUUGGUCCUAUACCAGACCGUUACUGCGAAAUGUAUGCAGUAACGAGUAGGGGGGCGCCGUGGUGAGCAUAGAAGCCUAGGCCGUGAGGCUGGGUGGAGCCGCCACGGGUGCAGAUCUUGGUGGUAGUAGCAAAUAUUCAAGUGAGAACCUUGAAGACUGAAGUGGAGAAGGGUUC
rnacentral:rRNA from 1 species